UGUUUUCUCAACUUCAUUGUUUAAAAAUCGUGUUUGAUAGCGGAAUUCAAUGUAAACAACUACAUUACCCAUGAUACAGCAGAGAAAGAUCCACCAAUCAGAGAACCGCGGCCAACGAAACCCGUGAAACAUGCCUCUGAGAGACCGCCCACUCCCAUGACCUACUGUGAAUGAGGGGCGGAUCUAGAAAUUUUUUCAUGGGGUGGCAAGGAGGUGGCAUGCAGACUAUGAGGGGUGGCAAAACCAAAGCAAGCGUCCAUGCGUAGUUCUUAUGGAUUGAGGAGCCAUAAGAAAGAACCCCUCAACAAAAGAGGCAACAGAGGGGAGCCACCAAGAGGUGGUCUCAACAUUUCUAAAAGGAGCUGGUAGAAAAGGUGG